rfam:Operophtera brumata OBRT01_Sc00578, whole genome shotgun sequence.
CGUUCUAUGGCCGAACUGGGUAAGACAUCGCCGACUACAGGCGAAGAUGCGGGUUAGAGUCCCGCUGGAACGG